AUGAUUCAAAAUAGACAUUCUGCACGAUCGAAAGCUUUUUUACUAACAUUGCUAGAAUCUGCUAGUUUUGAGAUAUGAACUCAAGACAUUUUUGAUAAAUCAGACUUUUGUGAUGUUCUUCAGUCCGAUAAUUGAUCCAAACCAGCAAAGUUUGUCAAAGCAAAUCUACAUUUAUACAUGCAAAUGGCAAUUCACCCACCACCAACAAAGAAAAUAUUCACCUGUACUAUAUGCACAAGAAAAUUGAACCAGAGACAGCAAUUAAGUUAUUAAAUGUUAUAUAGUUAAAUUAGAUCAUAAAAUACAUUAAACUAGUCAAAUUUUCAAGUUUUAUAUAGUUGUAUAAUCAUCUAGGAAGUUAGCAUGCUGAACAAGAAAACAUAGAAUUGAUCAAAUCUACUUAUGAAAUACAUGUAAAUGGAAUUCAACAAAAGAGUUUGAUACAAUCAUAUCAGGUAUCUUAGUGAUGCAUAUUCUGUUAAUGAUCAAACAUGUUCAAGCAACGAAGGUUAUUCCUCAGAUCAUAAUCACGCUCCCGAACUAAUGAGGUAGAGUACAGUGUACAUCCCAUCAAUUUGUACUUGGUAAAUCUUGUUGCAAGAUGCACCCUUGGAAACCCCAAACCAUCUCCCAGAAACCCCCUUCACAUCAAAAGCUCUCCAGCACCAAAAAAAGAAAAGAGACAAAAGAAUGGAAAGGAAGAGAGAAAAGCCUAAAUGUUCAACCACUAGGAAACCAGAAUGUGAUAGAAUAAAGAAAUAAAAAAAA
rnacentral:lncRNA from 1 species